CAGCCGCCGCGGUAAUACGUAGGGUGCAAGCGUUAAUCGGAAUUACUGGGCGUAAAGCGUGCGCUGGCGGUUAUAUAAGUCAGAUGUGAAAUCCCCGGGCUCAACCUGGGAACUGCAUUUGAGACUGUAUGGCUAGAGUGUGUCAGAGGGGGGUAGAAUUCCACGUGUAGCAGUGAAAUGCGUAGAUAUGUGGAGGAAUACCGAUGGCGAAGGCAGCCCCUUGGGAUAACACUGACGCUCAUGCACGAAAGCGUGGGGAGCAAACAGGAUUAGAUACCCGCGUAGUCCCUGUCUCUUAUAC
rnacentral:rRNA from 1 species